AUUGAACGCUGGCGGCAUGCUUUACACAUGCAAGUCGAACGGGGUGGGGGGCAACUCCCAUUCAGUGGCGAACGGGUGAGUAAUGCAUCGGAACGUAUCCCGUAGUGGGGGACAACGCCGCGAAAGCGGCGCUAAUACCGCAUAUGCUCUACGGAGGAAAGUGGGGGACCGCAAGGCCUCACGCUAUGGGAGCGGCCGAUGUCCGAUUAGCUAGUUGGUGGGGUAAUGGCCCACCAAGGCGACGAUCGGUAGCUGGUCUGAGAGGAUGAUCAGCCACACUGGGACUGAGACACGGCCCAGACUCCUACGGGAGGCAGCAGUGGGGAAUUUUGGACAAUGGGGGCAACCCUGAUCCAGCCAUGCCGCGUGCGGGAAGAAGGCCUUCGGGUUGUAAACCGCUUUUAGUCGGGAAGAAAAGGCACGUUCUACUACGGCGUGUUCUUGACGGUACCGGCGGAAUAAGCACCGGCUAACUACGUGCCAGCCGCCGCCGUAAAAC
rnacentral:rRNA from 1 species